rnacentral:rRNA from 1 species
UACGGGGGGGCAAGCGUUGUUCGGAAUUACUGGGCGUAAAGGGCUCGUAGGCGGCCAACUAAGUCAGACGUGAAAUCCCUCGGCUUAACCGGGGAACUGCAUCUGAUACUGGAUGGCUUGAGAUUGGGAGAGGGAUGCGGAAUUCCAGGUGUAGCGGUGAAAUGCGUAGAUAUCUGGAGGAACACCGGUGGCGAAGGCGGCAUUCUGGACAGAGUACCGACGCUGAGGCACGAAAGCUAGGGGAGCGAAACAGG